UACGUAGGGGGCAAGCGUUGUCCGGAAUCAUUGGGCGUAAAGCGCGCGUAGGCGGCCCGGUAAGUCCGCUGUAAAAGUCAAAGGCUCAACCUUUGAAUGCCGGUGGAUACUGUCGGGCUAGAGUCCGGAAGAGGCGAGUGGAAUUCCUGGUGUAGCGGUGAAAUGCGCAGAUAUCAGGAGGAACACCAAUUGCGAAGGCAGCUCGCUGGGACGUUACUGACGCUGAGACGCGAAAGCGUGGGGAGCAAACGGG
rnacentral:rRNA from 1 species